UACUAGAUGGAAAGUAGCCCUAACCAUUCCUUUUCCCUUUCCCUUUGUCGGAUCUCCAAAGAGACUUGUGGUCUCCUUAAGAUCCUCUUGGAGAAGAAACAAUGGAAUCAUUGCAUCGUUCUUUGAUUCACAAUCGGCUUCUCAAAACAGUUAGAGUUACGACUCUCUCAAGAAUUUUUUUAGACCCAUCUCAAGAAAAUUUGUUUUAUCAAUUCGUGAACAUAUUCUUCGUUAUUCUUGGGAAAGAACUGAUAGUUUCAUGUCAAUAAUGGAAUAUUUUUUGCCCCCUUUUACCCCUUUUCAGCUUAAAGUGUAGGAAUAUUAUGGUCUGUCCCUUAUCGCUUCCAAACAAAUUGCAUCGACAAGAAUUCUUAUAUUUUUUGUUGGCAGUGUAUGGCGGUGCUUUUUGUUAUGAGAUCAAGCACAUGCUAGAGCCUUCUAGCUCAGAUGAGCUCUCUUGUGCCGAUUACUUCUAUAUCCACGGAGUCAACAUGAAGAACGAUUCUGGCCUUGAAGGUCUCAUGAAGAUGGUUGGAAAGAGAUUGCCUAAGGAUGAGAAGUUUCAACAACUUUCCAUGCAGUGCUAACUUGAAGCCUGUUGGAUGUUUGAGAUGGAAAAGUAUCAAAUCUUGAGAAGUGCUCACAGGACAAUUUGCAAUGGCAAUGCAUAAAAUAUCUGGGACCAGCAAGUUUCAAGUCAUUGAAAGAACACAUAUUAUCAUUCCUCCAACAGAAAGAGUGAGAAUCAUAUAAAGUUGUGGUUAAAAAUGGGAAGCUUGUCUACAAACAGAGCGGUUCCACUGUGGACAUGAUUGAAGGUUCAAAAUGUAUAUCCGUUCAUCCAAUCGAACCCGUAUAACAAAGAGGUUUUGGUUUGUUUUGAAAGCAUUGAAAAGCUUUCAAUUUAUGGUGGCUCUAAUUUCUCAUUCACCUUGACACUGCAACGAACUACGCAAGCAAGUACUUCACUCGACCUUUAAUACCUUAAAUUGCAUUUUACGUUUGAGUAUGUGUUGAUUUAGGAUUAUGGUGUCAGAUUGUUGACUAAUUAUAAUAUUUUUGAAUUGUUAUAUAAGUAGUUUGAUUGUUGUUGGUGGAUUUUUUAUUUUUUAAAGGAUUGUUACGAUACUGA